UUUUAUGAUCCCUGACUUUGCGUAUUAGCUCUAAGUUCUAUCGGUUCGUUUUUAUGAUCCCCGACUUUGCGUAUAAGCUCUAAGUUCUCUCGGUAUGUUUUUAUGAUCCCCGACUUUGCGUAUUAGCUCUAAGUUCUUUCGGUCCGUUUUUAUGAUCCCAGACUUUACAUAUUAGCUCUAAGUUCUUUCAGUCCGUUUUUAUGAUCUCCGACUUUGCAUAUUAGCUCUAAGUUCCUUCGGUCCGUUUUUAUGAUCCCCAACUUUGCGUAUUAGCUCUAAGUUUUUUCUGUCCGUUUUUAUGAUCCCUGACUUUGCAUAUUAGCUCUAACUUAUUUCGGUCCGUUUUUAUGAUCCCCGACUUUGCGUAUUAGCUCUUAAGUUCUUUCGGUCCGUCUUUAUAAUUCCCGACUUUGCGUAAUAGCUCUUAGUUCUUUCGGUCAUUUUUAUGAGCCCCGACUUUGCGUAUUAGCUCUAAGUUCUAUCGGUCCGUUUUUAUGAUCACCGACUUUGCG
rnacentral:lncRNA from 1 species